rnacentral:rRNA from 1 species
UACGGAGGGGGCUAGCGUUGUUCGGAAUUACUGGGCGUAAAGCGCACGUAGGCGGCUUUGUAAGUUAGAGGUGAAAGCCCGGGGCUCAACUCCGGAAUUGCCUUUAAGACUGCAUCGCUAGAAUUGUGGAGAGGUAAGUGGAAUUCCGAGUGUAGAGGUGAAAUUCGUAGAUAUUCGGAAGAACACCAGGUGGCGAAGGCGACUUACUGGACACAUAUUGACGCUGAGG